GUGCUUGCUUCGGCAGCACAUAUGCUAAAAUUGGAACAAUACAAGAAGAUUAGCAUGGCCCCUGCGCAAGGAUGACAUGUAAUUUCAUGAAGCAUUCUAUAUUUUU
rnacentral:snRNA from 1 species